UACGUAGGGUGCGAGCGUUAAUCGGAAUUACUGGGCGUAAAGCGUGCGCAGGCGGCGCGUUAAGACAGGUGUGAAAGCCCCGAGCUUAACUUGGGAAUUGCGCUUGUGACUGGCGUGCUGGAGUGUGGCAGAGGGAGGUGGAAUUCCACGUGUAGCAGUGAAAUGCGUAGAUAUCGAGAGGAACACCUGCGGCGAAGGCGGGUUGCUGGGCCGACACUGACGCUGAUGCGCGAAAGCCAGGGGAGCGAACGGG
rnacentral:rRNA from 1 species